UUUAUUAAAUUGUUAUAAUUUAAAUUAUUUUAUUUUUAUUUAUUCAAUUAUUGGAAUUUUAAAACUUAAUUAUAUUUAAAGAGCAAACGAAAUAUGUUUCCAUACGCAACCACACAACUAAUUAAUUAUAAAAAAAAAUCAUUAUGUGCCUAAUCUAUAAUUUUGAUGGUGAUGAAAUGUAGCGACUAGCGACUAUAUCUAUUCUGCCAGUAUGUGAAAAAUAUGAAUUCUAAAUGUACUUAAAAUAUUCAAGUAAAAGAGAAUUCUUAUAUAAGUCGAAGGAAUAAGAAUUAUGAGCAAAAAAAAGAAAAGAAAAAAAGUUUCAUAAAAAAUUAUAAUACCUACCUACCUACUUAUUCGAGAAUAAUAAAAUCUUUGAAAACCCUGUCUUCUACAUUUCAUCACGAAGUUAGAAAAAACAUUUCCAAAUAAGUAAGUGCAUGGUUAUUUCACCAAAAAUAAAAUUAAUGGAGCCUAUAUGUUUUCAUUUUAUAAUAUUAAAGUAAAAAAUAAAUGAUUAAUAACACACAUA